UGGCUCAGAACGAACGCUGGCGGCAGGCUUAACACAUGCAAGUCGAGCGGGCGUAGCAAUACGUCAGCGGCAGACGGGUGAGUAACGCGUGGGAACGUACCUUUUGGCUCGGAACAACACAGGGAAACUUGUGCUAAUACCGGAUAAGCCCUUACGGGGAAAGAUUUAUCGCCGAAAGAUCGGCCCGCGUCUGAUUAGCUAGUUGGUGAGGUAAUGGCUCAGCAAGGCGACGAUCAGUAGCUGGUCUGAGAGGAUGAUCAGCCACAUUGGGACUGAGACACGGACCAAACUCCUACGGGAUUCCGCAGUGG
rnacentral:rRNA from 1 species